GGGGGAGGCGAGACACUACGCGUAUUCGGAAUGGAGGUGCUACGCGGUGUCCAGGAAGCUUCCUCCUGCAUUAGGAGGUCUAUACAUGCUGUUAUCUUUGCUGGACUUUCCUCCCAUCUCUUCAUCUAGGCCCAACUUGGCUUUGCAGUACUUGACUGCCCUCAGUUCUACAUAGUUGCCACUAGAGGGCAGGCGCGGUUAAGACAACAAUACUCUGGACCCACCAGCGCCAUAAUUACUGGUGGUCUGGAACCCAGCCUGCACUAUCUCCAAGGUCUGCCUGUACUGACACGGAGUGCAUAUACACAUGCAUCUUUGGUGUGGCUAAUUCACUACCAGCUGGAACUCACAUCACAGCUGCCCUAUUUACUUACCUACCGGCUGCAUUCCUUAGAACCAGUUUUUUUCCUGUUCAAAUGGAAACCAGGCAGAAUUGGGAAAAUAUUUCUUCAGCCAGCUCCUCAGCACUGCUGUCUGAGGGAGACCAUCUGACCCAGAUGCCCUUCAAUUGGGUUGGCAGAAUCUUCAAGAACCACACCCCUUCCCCAGGGUGGUGUCUAAUGUGCCUGGUCUGAUUCUCAACAUGGCCUGUUUGCAGAAGAAACCUCCUCUGGGACCUCAGCUACCCUACCUGGUCUUGGUGGAUGGGACCCUCAGAUAGUGGAAUGCAUCAUGGCCAAGUGGAGGUGUCCAGAGUCCCCUUGUGCCACCUGGAUUGGAAGAAGACAUUGCUCAGAAACCCUUCGAAAGAACUGGGGAGUGUCCCUGAGCACCUCCCACUCCCAAAGGACAGUGCAUGUGCUCCCUGGUUCCCCAAGCCUAGCAGAGCAGCUCGCCCCUCAUCCAGAGAAUUGUGGAAUCCUAUCUGCUUCAAGGACUGUUUCCAAAAUGAUCUCCCAAGCAGCUCAUGCCUGAACUUGGAGUAGUGACAACUACAUAUCUCACACCCCACUCAUUUUGUUCUCUUCUUGUGCCUUCUCCCCAAGUAUAGCAUCCUGUACUAGCAUUUCCUAGUAUGUAAAUAGCUUAUAAUCGGGGCUUGGU